GGGUUGUGAGGUUAAGCGACCAAGCGUACACGGUGGAUGCCCUGGCAGUCAGAGGCGAUGAAGGACGUGCUAAUCUGCGAUAAGCGCCGGUAAGGUGAUAUGAACCGUUAUAACCGGCGAUUUCCGAAUGGGGAAACCCAGUGUGACUCGUCACACUAUCAUUAACUGAAUCCAUAGGUUAAUGAGGCGAACCGGGGGAACUGAAACAUCUAAGUACCCCGAGGAAAAGAAAUCAACCGAGAUUCCCCCAGUAGCGGCGAGCGAACGGGGAGGAGCCCAGAGCCUGAAUCAGCAUGUGUGUUAGUGGAAGCGUCCGGAAAGGCGCGCGAUACAGGGUGACAGCCCCGUACACAAAAGCGCAUAUGCUGUGAGCUCGAUGAGUAGGGCGGGACACGUGGUAUCCUGUCUGAAUAUGGGGGGACCAUCCUCCAAGGCUAAAUACUCCUGACUGACCGAUAGUGAACCAGUACCGUGAGGGAAAGGCGAAAAGAACCCCGGCGAGGGGAGUGAAAAAGAACCUGAAACCGUGUACGUACAAGCAGUGGGAGCACAGGUUUACCUGUGUGACUGCGUACCUUUUGUAUAAUGGGUCAGCGACUUAUAUUCUGUAGCAAGGUUAACCGUAUAGGGGAGCCGGAGGGAAACCGAGUCUUAAUUGGGCGUUAAGUUGCAGGGUAUAGACCCGAAACCCGGUGAUCUAGCCAUGGGCAGGUUGAAGGUUGGGUAACACUAACUGGAGGACCGAACCGACUAAUGUUGAAAAAUUAGCGGAUGACCUGUGGCUGGGGGUGAAAGGCCAAUCAAACCGGGAGAUAGCUGGUUCUCCCCGAAAGCUAUUUAGGUAGCGCCUCGUGAAUUCAUCUCCGGGGGUAGAGCACUGUUUCGGCUAGGGGGCCAUCCCGGCUUACCAACCCGAUGCAAACUGCGAAUACCGGAGAAUGUUAUCACGGGAGACACACGGCGGGUGCUAACGUCCGUCGUGAAGAGGGAAACAACCCAGACCGCCAGCUAAGGUCCCAAAGUCAUGGUUAAGUGGGAAACGAUGUGGGAAGGCCCAGACAGCCAGGAUGUUGGCUUAGAAGCAGCCAUCAUUUAAAGAAAGCGUAAUAGCUCACUGGUCGAGUCGGCCUGCGCGGAAGAUGUAACGGGGCUAAACCA
rnacentral:rRNA from 1 species